rnacentral:rRNA from 1 species
CCUACGGGAGGCAGCAGUGGGGAAUAUUGGGCAAUGGGCGCAAGCCUGACCCAGCAACGCCGCGUGAAGGAAGAAGGCUUUCGGGUUGUAAACUUCUUUUCUCAGGGACGAAGAAAGUGACGGUACCUGAGGAAUAAGCCACGGCUAACUACGUGCCAGCAGCCGCGGGAAUACGUAGGUGGCAAGCGUUAUCCGGAUUUAUUGGGGGUAAAGGGCGGGUAGGCGGGGGGGCAAGUCAGAGUUGAAAACUCAGGGCUCAACCCUGGGCCUGCAUUUGAAACUGUGUUUCUUGAGUGCGGGAGAGGCAAGCGGAAUUCCGUGUGUAGCGGUGAAAUGCGUAGAUAUACGGAGGAACACCAGUGGCGAAGGCGGUUUGCUGGACAGUAACUGACGCUGAGGCGCGAAAGCGUGGGGAGCAAACAGGAUUAGAUACCCGGGUAGUC